rnacentral:rRNA from 1 species
AAUCAACGCUGGCGGCGUGCCUCAGACAUGCAAGUCGAACGAUUAAAGCUCUCUUCGGAGAGUGUAUAGAGUGGCGCACGGGUGAGUAACACGUAAGUAAUCUACCUUUGAGUGGGGAAUAACCCGGGGAAACCCGAGCUAAUACCGCAUAAUGCAGCGGCACCGCAAGGUGACAGUUGUUAAAGGAGCAAUCCGCUUAAAAGAGGAGCUUGCGGCAGAUUAGCAGUUGGUAAGGUAAUGGCUUACCAAGGCUUCGAUCUGUAUCCGGCCUGAGAGGGCGGUCGGACACACUGACACUGAAUAACGGGUCAGAACUCCUACGGGAGGCAGCAGUCGGGAAUUUUGGGCAAUGGGCGAAAAGCCUGACCCAGCAACGCCGCGUGAAGGAAUGAAGUAUUUCGGU